UACGAAGGGGGCUAGCGUUGCUCGGAAUUACUGGGCGUAAAGCGCACGUAGGCGGAUUGUUAAGUCGGUGGUGAAAUCCUGGAGCUCAACUCCAGAACUGCCUUCGAUACUGAGAGUCUUGAGUCCGGGAGAGGUGAGUGGAACUGCGAGUGUAGAGGUGAAAUUCGUAGAUAUUCGCAAGAACACCAGUGGCGAAGGCGGCUCACUGGCCCGGUACUGACGCUGAGGUGCGAAAGCGUGGGGAGCAAACAGG
rnacentral:rRNA from 1 species